rnacentral:lncRNA from 1 species
UGGGGGCUUUCGAGGGCAGAUGCCUUGGAGCAGGAGAAAUGGGCAGUGCUACUGGACCUGAUGGAUCCAGCGGCAUCCUUUUCCUGAAAGAGAUUCUAAUGUUCCACCUGUGCUCUUCCUCCCUGCGGGGUCACCAAAGUAACUCAAAGCUGACCAUCAUUGCCUCUAACCAUUAGAGCAAAUAGCUCUAUCAUUUUCUUAUUUCUCACCACCUAUUUCGUGCCUGGCACUGUGUUUAAUGCUAGAUCACAAGCUCAUCUUUUUUCCUGUUUUUUCAACCUGGGUCAGUAUGAUGCAGGACUAGAGAGAGAUGAGAAGAGAAAAAUGAGGGUCAGUCUAUGAGCCAAGAGACAAAGUCAUGGGAAGACAGCUGAGGCUAAUUCCAGAAGGUCCUCCUAGGAGAAGCCAAAGCAGGGGACACACCUCAAAAUAGAGCCAUGCAUAGAACCACUCAUAGCCAGACUGCAAGGCAGGAACAUGAGGAUGGUCACUAGGAGGCCAACAAAUUCUGCUAAAGGGGAUUCUUUUUAUAAAAUACACUCUUUCAGGACAUUGUCAGAUCCUCUGCAUAUAGUCCUCAAAAUACAUCCUUGAUCCAGCUUGUUUUAAGUGUUUAUGCAAAAUAAUGGUAUGUUUGAAAGUGUUAGAUAUUAAUUUUUUAUUUCUGUUUUGAAGGCAUUCAAGUAUCACG